CUUCCCCCGCUUACCGAACGUACUACCCCUUUCCAAGGCGAUAGUCUCAAGAAUACCCAAUCACCCACUUGAAAUUUAAGGUCCUUCUUGCGGACAUCCUUAAACUCUUCUGGCUACUAGGAGCUGCUUUGAGUCUAUCUCUGACUCCUUUAACCUCUUCAUUUAAAUCCUGAAUUAUUUUAAAUCUUCACAAGGACUCUAAAUCCUUCGUUGAACUACCACUAACGUUUACAGGAAGUGGGUUCAUUGAUACCUACUCCAGAGUACGAAUACCCGUAGGUAUGCAUACUCCUCUCUGAGCAAUGGAAGUAGCUAACCCAAAUAAAACACAUAAAUUUGCUAUCACCAUCGGGCUCAAAUCUCCUAACAUCACGCAACAACCUCGUCAUUACGCUGCUCACAGCUCGACAAUGAAGCCCACUUGCUAGGAAACUAAAAUUCACACAUUCCCACAUGCUCAUAGGGGUCAAAAUUAAGCCCACUUGCUAAGCCUGACGUCGAUCCGAGGUCUCUUCUGCUUGAGCCUCCUCACGUCCUGUUCCAAAUAUAAUAUUAAUUUCCCAACCAAUAAUCCAAUAUUUAAUCAAAAUAGGCAAAAUUACCCGAGAGCCAUAAAUACGCUCAUCAUUGCCUAACUUCGAUAAUCUUAAAUCGGAACGAUCCGAACUUAAAUAUCAUACUCAACAGUCGUAAAUACCACCUCCUUAAAAUACGACUUAAAUCCUACGGCCGGAUUCUACAUUAAUUUACCGCCAAAAAUACCAAACUUCGGAAAUUCACAAACCUAUCCAAAUCUCAUCCAAAAAUUCCAUAAAUCACAUCAAUAUACUCCUCUUAAUAUUCCACACUUAAAACCCUAAAAAUCUCCUAACCGGCGGCGGCUCCGCCGGCAGCGGCGGCCGGAGGCCGAUUCCGGCGACCUCCAAUGCUCACCAAAAUUAAACAGCAGCUUCCUCUCAACCUACUCUACAACUUUCUUAACUAGCACUAAGUCCAAUUUCAAGCCUAA
rnacentral:lncRNA from 1 species